rnacentral:rRNA from 1 species
UACGAAGGGGGCUAGCGUUGCUCGGAAUCACUGGGCGUAAAGCGCACGUAGGCGGAUUGUUAAGUCAGGGGUGAAAUCCCGGGGCUCAACCUCGGAACUGCCUUUGAUACUGGGGAUCUCGAGUCCGGGAGAGGUGAGUGGAACUGCGAGUGUAGAGGUGAAAUUCGUAGAUAUUCGCAAGAACACCAGUGGCGAAGGCGGCUCACUGGCCCGGAACUGACGCUGAGGUGCGAAAGCGUGGGGAGCAAACAGG